rnacentral:rRNA from 1 species
UACGUAGGGGGCAAGCGUUGUCCGGAUUUAUCGGGCGUAAAGAGCGUGUAGGCGGCCAUGUAGGUCCGUUGUGAAAACUCGAGGCUCAACCUCGAGACGCCGAUGGAAACCAUAUGGCUAGAGUCCGGAAGAGGAGAGUGGAAUUCCUGGUGUAGCGGUGAAAUGCGCAGAUAUCAGGAAGAACACCCGUGGCUAAGGCGGCUCUCUAGUACGGUACUGACGCUGAGACGCGAAAGCGUGGGGAGCGAACAGG